GCUUCGGUAGUGUAGUGGUCAAGACGCUCGCCUGGUAAUCAGGAGAGCGCGGGUUCAAUCCCAGCCGAGGCA
rnacentral:tRNA from 1 species